rnacentral:lncRNA from 1 species
CUCUAAUCCUCUUCCAUGCCCAAAGGAGUUGGGCAUCCCAUCUGGUGAUCUCAAAGUAUCAAGUUUCAUCCGAUCUACGCGAAAGAAUAAGAAGGUUGCGAUCAAGCAUUGGUCGAAAUCCUGCCAGACAUCAGAUCCAAGGAUGAUCUAGGAGCUUGUAGAUUUAUCUAGGAGUAGAUGAAUCGAACAUGGAGAGAGCAUCCUAGUCCGAACCUGAGUGGAUACUUGCAAAGGUCGGGUAAGUGCGCGGCUCAACAACAAACCUCAAAACUCCAUG